CAUCAUUAUAUUACAACUGAUCAUCAUGGACCACAAAAUGCCAGAUUUGCCAGCCUUAUCAUUGCCGAUUUGUGGGGUAGUAACUAAUAAAGCGUCUGGUCUGGUUUCUGGUGCUCCUAAUCGGCUUCCUUUAGCGACCGCAUGCACUGUGCUGUAGGGCGAAGGACACAGUGGCUGCCGCUGCACUGACUCUGUUUUUUUUUGAAAGAUCCGGACGUUACCGGCUUUGAUUAAUAAUAAGAGGAAAUUGUGGAAAACAUCCGUUUACAAGCGCGAGGAGCGCUCCCCAUCGCAGCCUAGGCUACGUGGGGCUUAUCUUCCUAGCUGAUUACUCGCUACUUACAUUUUCAACUAAAGAAUUCCUUAACGCUUUGCAUCCUGCCAAGGACCAUUGAUGAGCCAUGUCCUUGAUAUCCACCAGCAGAGAAUGUGGCGCCUUUCGUUCUUCCCUGAAGAUCACAGCAUUUCGCCGGUUCCAGAUGUUCCACACAGUCAAAAUUGCUAGAGAUGUUGGCUGCAAGCUCGGGCAGCCACUCCAAGUAGCCACCAGUUGCCAGACCAGGCGGGAGUAGGGGCAUUCGAAUAAUAAAUGAUGUGUUGUCUCAAGAUUCCGUUCACACAAGGCGUAAAAAUAGUUGUUCUUCAAGUGACGCAAUUGUAGGCGCGCCGAAGUCCAUAGUCUAUUUUGCAAUAGCAGCCAUAAAAAGAGUUUGCACUUGACUCGUGAACUCACCACUGUUGUGUGAUUGUGCCGUUCAUUCAUCCAUUCAUAGGUCUGGAGUCGCUGUCGCGCAAAGGACGUACCCUAAUCCUAUGGUUGCAACAAACUUGACCUCUGAACUAGAGGACCUUCGUACCCUAAUCCUAUGGUUGCAACAAACUUGACCUCUGAACUAGAGGACCUUGCUCUGGUUUAAUUUGACAUGCAUGAUGUGUGUUAGCAUCUUUUAGGAAAGGCUGAAAGGAAUGCAUGUGUGUAGAUAGACAUGAACUACUUGGUCUCACUCUCAACCACCUCCAUCCGUCCAUGUUGGUCUUUUCUUCUCUUUUCUAGCCUGAAAUUUUGUCUAGAAGCUUUAAUUUUUUUUGUCUAGAAGCCAGCGAAUCAUGCAAGUUUAUCCGAUUGUUUUGAAAGAAUUCCGUUCUUCAUCCAAACUGACCUGUUCAAGAUAAACUGUAGCUAAUUACUUAAAAUAGGCAAUUUUGAUUUUCUUUU